UGGGGUAUGUUCAGUCUUUUUUGGUAGCCAAUUAGUCACAAACACUGGUCAAAAUUUGUUAAAAUCAGUUUUUUGUAUUUUUCACACAAAUACGAAUUAGAAUGCUAACUUUGGCCAGUGUUUGUGAGCAAGUGGAUACUAAAAAAGACUGAACAUACCCCAUUUGUAAUACCUUAGGUUGUCUACUUUUGAGAAUUGUAUGCCAUCAUGGGGGUAAUUUUCAUUCCUGGGCUACCAUACGGUCUCAAAGGCAACAUAACCAGUCUGGCAAAUUUCAAUGUGUAUAGACUAAAAAUUGUAUUGUGCUAAAUGUGAC